rnacentral:tRNA from 1 species
UGGGGCGUGGCCAAGUGGUAAGGCAGGGGACUUUGAAUCCCCGAUCCCAGGUUCGAUCCCUGGCGCCCCAACCC